UACAGCCAUUUCCUUUAAACUUAGACUUUGUGGAUAAUCUGCAGUAAAGCACUAUGCUUAAGAAUUAUUAGUGACUGAAGAGGACGUGUUCCAGGAGAUUUGUAUCUAGAAGAUGCAUCUGGAAAGAUAAUAGGAGAAGCAUAGCUAUGAGUUUUAAAAUGUUACAUAAAGAGUUACAAUACCAAAAACUAAUUAAAUACUGUGCAGAGGAAAGUAAUGACGAACAUGCUGAGGACAGAAGGCCCCCAAAGGCUUGAGGAAGGCUGAAGUGGCGGUCCUGUGAGCGUUGCCUGUGGACACAUGGCUGGAGGAUGAAUGUGUUUAGUUGAGACAGUGGUUCUCAACUGGGCCUUUUACUCUCUGGAGGACAUUGGUGAGGAGACCUUUUUUUUUUGAGGAAGACUAGCCCUGAGCUAACAUCUGCUACCAAUCCUCCUCUUUUUGCUGAGGAAGACUGGCCCUGAGCUAACAUCUGUGCCCAUCUUCCUCUCUUUUAUAUAUGGCACUGCUCAUCAGACCACGCUGAGGCAGCAUCCCACAUGCCACAACUAGAAGGACCCACAACGAAGAAUAUACAACUAUGUACCAGGGAGCUUUGGGGAGAAAAAGGAAAAAAAUAAAAUCUUAAAAAAAAAAAAAGAAGAAUGCUGCUAUAAAUAUUUGUGUACAGAUUUUUGUAUGGAAAUGUGUUUUUCAGUUCUCUUGGAUAUAUACCUAGGAGUGGAAUUACUGGGUCAUGCUAACUUUAUGUUUACUAUUUUGGGAACUGCCAGACUCUUUUCCAAAGUGGCUGCACCAUUUUACAUUCCCACCAGCAUGAGUGUUCCAACUUCUCUCCAUCCUCACCAACACCUGUCAUUUUAUCUGACUUUUUUCAUUCUAGCUACCCUAGUUGUUGUGAAGUGGUAUUUGCAUUUUUUUUGAUAGCUAAUGAUGUUAAGCGUCUUUUUAUGUGCUUAUUGGCCAUCUGUAUAUCUUCCUUGGAGAAAUAGCUAUUUAGAUCUUUCGCCCAUUUUUAGUUGGGUUGUCUUAUUACUUAUUGAGUUGUAAGAGUUCUUUAUAUAUUCUGCACACUAGGCUUUUAUCAGAUAAUAUGAUUUGCAAAUAUUUUCUCCCAUUCUGUGGGUUCUUUUUCCUUUCUUAAUGGUGUCCUUUGAAGCACACAAAAGUUUUUAAUAUUGAUGAAGUCCAAUUUCUCUUUUUUGUUUUGUCACUUUUGCCUCUGGUGUCAUAGCUGAGAAGCCAUUGCCUAAUUGAAGGUCAUCAAGAUUUAUGCUUCUGUUUUCUUCUGAGAGUUUUAUAGUUUAGUUCUUACAGUUGGGUCUUUGAUCUAUUUUGCAUUAAUUUUUGUAUAUGGUAUGAGACGGAGUCCAGCUUUGUUUUUGCAUAUGGAUAUCCUGUUGUCCUAGCACCAUUUGUUGAAAAGACUAUUAUUUCAUUGAAUUGUGUUGUCACCUUGUCAAAAAUCAAUUGCCCACACGUGGAAGAGUUGAUAUCUGGAUGCUCAGUUCUGUUCCGUUGAUCUGUACAUGUCUAGCUGUACACCAGUGUGACACUGUCUUGAUCACUGUAGCUCUGCAGUACGUUUUGAAAUAGGGAUCGAUCUAUGAGUCCUCCAACUUUAUUCUUCCUUCUCAAGAUUGUUUGGGCUAUUUGGGGUCCCUUGCAUUUGCAAAUGACCUUUAAGAUCAACUUGUCAGUUUCUGCAGAAAAGCCAGGAUUUUGGUAGAGACUGUGGUAAAUGUGUACAGCAGUUUGGAGAGAAUUACCGUCUUAACAAUAUCAAGUCCUCUGAUCCGUGAACAUGGGUGUCACUCCAUUUAUUUAGAACUUUAAUUUCUUUGAACGUUUUGUAGUUUUCAGUGUAUGUCUUCUUUUCUUAAAAUUGUACUUAGGUAUUUUAUUUUUUGAUAGUAUUGUAUAUGGCACUGUUUUCUUAAUUUUGUUUUCAGAAUGUUCAUUGCUAGAGUGUAGAAAUACAAUUUAUUUUUGUAUGUUAAUCUUGUAUUCUAUAACUUUACUGAACUCUUUAUUAGUCUAAUAUUUGUGUAUCUGUGUGGAUUACUUAGGGUUUUCUGUAUAAGAUCUUUCCAAAGCAAAUAGAGGCCGUUUUACUUCUUGCCUUUCUGAUCUGGACGCCUCUUACUUCUUUUUCUUGCCCUGACCGGAACCUCCAGCGCAGUGAUGAAGUGGCUAGAACAGACGUCCUUGCGUGUUCCUCAUUUUGGGAAAGGGUUCUGUUGUUUACCAUUAAGUAUGACGUUAGCUGUGAAGUUCUCACAGAUGUCCUUCAUCAUGCUGAGAAAUUUCCCUGCUUUUUCUGCAUUUGUUGAAAUGACCAUAUUUCCCCGCCCUUUACCCUAUCCUGUUGUCUAUUACAUUAAUUGAUUUUCAGAUGUUAAACCAACCUUGUAUUCCUGGGAUAAAUUUCACUUGGCCAUGGUGUAUAAUCUUUUUUAUAUGUUGCUAGAUUUGGUUUCCUAGCAUUUGUUGAGAAUUUUUACCUCUAUAUUUAUAAGCAAUAGAGAUAUUUGGUUUCUUUUCUUGUGUUAUCUUUGUCUGAUUUGGUGUCAGGGUAAUACUGGCCUCGUAGAUUGGGUUGGAAAGUGUAUACUCUUCUGUUUUUUGGGACAAUUUGUGAAGAAUUGAUAUUCUUCUCUGAAUGUUUGGUGAAAUUCAUCAGUGAAGCCAUCUGGGCCUGGGCUUUUCUCUGUGGAAAUUUUUAAGUUACUAAUGUGAUCUCUUUACUUAUUAUAGACCAAGUCACAUUUUCCAUUUCUUUUUAUGUCAGUUUCAGCAUUUUGUGUGUUCCUGGGAAUUUGUUCCUUUUAUUUAAAUCAUCUAAUUCGUUAGCUACAGUUGUUCAUAGUAUUCCCUUGUAAUCCUUUUUUCUUUUAAUCUCUGUAAGGUUGGUAAGUGUCCUCUUUUAUUCCUGUAUUAAGUAAUUUGAGUCCUCUCUUUUUUUCCUUGGUGAGUCUAGCUAAAACCUUGUGCAUUUUGUUGAUCUUUUCAAAGAACCAACUUUUGGUUUUGUUGAUAUUUUUCUAUUGUUUUUCUGUCUGCUGAACACCAUUAAUGAAAAGAAAACUCUUUAAAGCAGCCAGAGGAAAACAGGACACGUUGUGUACAGAGGAAGAGAAGGCCCUGCAGUGCAGUAGACAGUGAAACAAUGCCACACUUAUGGUGGUUGCGUGGGUUCUCUUAAAAAGUUGAUGAAACAAAAAAAGCAAAAAAAGCAUGUCUCCUUCGAGUCUCCAGCUGUCAGUUUGCUCUCUGCGUGAGGCAGGGUGCUUCCUCGCCCCAAGUUCCCACCCUGCUCCCGCUCCCGGACUCUUCGUGGCAGAGGUGAGGGUUUCUCCUUCCAGCACAAAGGGUAACAGAAAAAGAGCGUGCCCUGCAGACGCUGCCCACGGUGCUGGUCCCAGUGUAGCAGGAGUCUGUGCUGAUUAUGCUGCUUGAGGGGAAUAUUUUUUUCUCUCAUUUUAGCCCUAAUCCAGUCGUUAUCAACCUUGGCUGCACUUUAGAAUCAGCCGGGGAACUUGAAAAAACUGAAACCCGUCUCUAUCCCAGACCAAUUUAUGUUUAGAAUCUGGUGGUGGAACCAGGCCGAGUGUGUGUGUGUGAGAGAGACAGUGUGUGUGUAUUAAUAUAUGUAUGUAUAUAUAAAAAUAUAAAAUAUAUAUGUAGGUAUCUAUGUAUGUUUACUUACUAUAUGGAAAUUUAAAUAUAUACCAAAGUGGAGAGAACAGUGAUCUUCAAACUGGGGGUGUGAGGACCCCCAGGGGUGAAGGCUUCUCCAGGGGAUCAGCGUUAGCUGACUAUCCAGGAUAGAGGUGACACCCCAUAUGCUUUGUCCAAUUUCCCCACCUACGUGAGGUGCAAAAUGGAGGUAGUUCUUGGUCAUGAAACAGAUACCGUCGUUGGGAGGAAAGCUCUUCCUCUGGCAGCCCAGGUCCUGGGUCCUGACGGUGGGGGCCUGCCGGUGAAUCGCCGGCUGCCGGUUUGAGGAUCACUGUUGAGUGGUUUGCGAUUCUCUGCUUUCAACUAGAUUUUAAAAGCGUGAGUCAUAAAUUUCCACUAAAAUUUUACUUUCAAUUUAUCAAAAUUUGUCAUGUUUUUAUCAAGUCUGUGCUGCUAGUAAUUGUAAUGCUAACACAAUCGAAAGAAGUCUUUUGAAUACUUAGAGCCUUAAGGUCAUAGGCAGUAAAGUUCAAAGUUUUGAAAUAAAUAUAUACUUUUGUAGUCGAGAAGAAUGAGCAGGUCAUCAGGAAUAGAUCUUUCAGCAUAAAAAGAGGCCACUGUCCAAUAAACUUCUUUGGAGGAAGUAGGAUGAAAGUGUAAGUUCAAAAAGAAAAAAAGGAAUGUUGUUGAAGAGCUGGUUUCCGUAGUAUUGAAAUGGAUAACGACGGGCAUUUAGAUUCCAUCGGAUUCAUUUCAGAAAGUAGUGGUUUAUUUCAAAAUGUCAAGAUUUACAGUACAUUGGAAAUCACUUUCUUUGCAUCUGCUUAAACUUACGACGAGUCAUUAUAGGUGUCGAUGGAAAAGUGUGCGCGGGAGAGCAUGCGUUCAUUUCCUUUACGGGCUUGAGACAGGAGAAGUUCAAAGAUGAGUGGUCUAGAACGACUGCUUUGUUCACGUCUGGAAGGCCAAGGGCCGCUCACUAGAAUGUAAUUUAUUUUAAACCUUGUCUCUGUAGUUUAAUAAAGCGGAAAUUGAUUCAUACUUUACAACUUCAUUUGUUUUAGGAUUGAUAAAUAGCACUACAGAACUUAAAUAUGUGCUUAUGGAAAUUGCGGAUGUGUUUUGUACAGCACUUUCUAUCUGUAAUCUGUCAGUGAAGGAGAAACAAACAUGUUUGUGUGGUACAGUUACUUUAUUGUUAAUACUUAUUAAUAUAGCUUAUUUUAUAGUAAUAAUUAAAGCAUUCCAUUCUGACAUCAGCUUUCAGUUCCUAUUCUUUAAUCUAUCUAACCUGACUCUCUAAUCUCUUUCUAGUUCUGUUAAUCCUCAGGAGGGUGAGUCUGUUCC
ensembl:lncRNA